CGGUAUACUUUAAAAAAAAGUUUGAGUUUGCAUCUCAAGAUUGGUCUAUGCCUAUCGCUGU
rnacentral:tRNA from 1 species